UAGUGACAGUCUCUUUAUUACCCCAAAUCCGAGAUUUAAGAAGGCAGGGCGGUCUCGCAUUGACUUCUGGGAAAUGUAGUUUUUUUUGAUGUGCCGACGCGUUCUGUUGGCGAUAGAAACUACAGUCCCCAGGAGCCACUGCGACGUUACCUGUAGCGGCCUUCGAGCCAACGGUUAGAGCGGACGGACGGAGGUUGAUAACGUCGACUUGAUAAUGGAUUCUGAAUUAAUGCAUAGUAUAGUAGGAAGCUAUCUUAAACCUCCAGAAAGAGUUUUUAUUCCAUCAUUUAUCCAGAAUGAUGAAUCAUCUCAGACUCACCACUGUGCAAACUUAGAAGCUACCUCUCCUAAAAUGCUUCAUAGUCCAAAUAGCCAAGCUCUUAUUUUAGCCUUAAAAACCCUUCAGGAAAAGAUUCAUCGUUUAGAAUUGGAGAGAACACAAGCUGAGGAUAACCUAAACAUUCUUUCCAGAGAGGCAGCACAGUAUAAAAAGGCCUUGGAGAAAGAAACACAUGAAAGAAAUCUGGCACACCAGGAACUGAUAAAGCAGAAAAAAGAUAUUACUAUACAGUUAAGCUCAGCUCAGUCUCGCUGUACUCUUCUAGAGAAGCAACUGGAAUAUACAAAGAGAAUGGUUCUUAAUGUAGAACGAGAGAAGAAUAUGAUCCUAGAACAACAGGCCCAGCUUCAAAGGGAAAAAGAACAAGAUCAUAGGAAGCUGCAAGCAAAACUUGAAAAUCUUGAUAUCUUAGAAAAAGAAUGUUUUAAACUUACAACCACUCAGAAAACUGCUGAGGACAAGAUUAAACAUUUAGAGGAAAAACUUAAGGAAGAAGAACAUCAGCGUAAGCUAUUUCAAGACAAAGCAUCUGAACUUCAGACUGGACUUGAAAUCAGUAGAAUUUUAAUGUCUUCAGUAUCAAAUCCAAAACACUGCAAGGAGAAGAAGAAGUCUUUGAAGAAAACUAGAUGUUUAAAGGGAGGACCACCUCAGCAAAUUCAUUCAAAGUUUGGAUCACUGCCUGUUGUGGCUGAGAAGUCUGCCAGUGCGAACUAUUCUGUGAAUGCAAGUAUGCAAAGCCUCCUGCAGUUGAUGAAACAUUACGGGCCACAUAACUGUCAGAAACUUACUGAAGUUACGGAGCCUCGAUGUCUCUACAAGCCUACUAGAACAACUUUCCAGGGUAAAGCUGAACCUUCUGAUUCAAAAAAUUCCAUUUCUAUUGGUGACAAUUUGUCUGAACUUGUGAUGGCAAUGCAGGAUGAGCUGGACCAAAUGAGUAUGGAGCAUAAAGAACUACUGAAUCAAAUGAAGGAAACUGAAAGUCAUUCAGUCUGUGAAGACAUAGAAUGUGAACUAGAACAUUUAGUCAAGAAAAUGGAAAUUAAAGGAGAACAAAUUUCCAAACUGUUGAAGCAUCAAGACAAUGUCCGUAAACUGCAGCAAAAAGUUCAAAACUCAAAGAUGAGUGAAGCUUCGGGUGUUCAGAGAGAAGAGAGCAACCUUAAAGGAUCAAAGAACAUAAAAAAUAGUCCCAGAAAAUGUUUGCUAACUAACUCUCUUCAGAAGAACAGCAAUUUUCAUCCAGUACAAGUCCAUAAUCUUCAAAUGAAAUUGAGAAGAGAUGAUAUCAUGUGGGAACAGUAACACAAUAGUAAAACUGUCACCUUAAAUGAACUCUGUCAGUGAGAUCUUGAAUUGUCUAAAGUGGUUUUAAUAUACCUUUAUGAAAUUCUGAAUUAUGUUUCUAGUCCCUAUAAAGUGUCAAGUUGUAGUAUUUUUAAAUUAAUGCCUAAUGGGGCACCUGGGUGGCUCAGUCGGUUAAGCGACUGCCUUCGGCUCAGGUCAUGAUCCUGGAGUCCCGGGAUCGAGUCCCGCAUCGGGCUCCCUGCUCAGCGGGGAGUCUGCUUCUCCCUCGGACCCUCCCCCCUCUCAUGCUCUCUCUCUCUCUAUCUCAUUCUCUCUCUCAAAUAAAUAAAUAAAAUCUUAAAAAAAAUUAAUGCCUAAUGACCUCCUAAGAGUCACAAAUAAUAAAUGACUGCAUUUUUUCUCUUACUGACUGAAAUACCUAAUCUGUUCAUGUUUUAGACACAUUGUUCACUUUGCAGAUCACUUAAGCUAAGUCUAAGAAAUUAUACUGGAUUGGUGAUACUUAAAAUUGAGUUAAAUUUUGAGACUCAAGUACCAUUCCCCUUUUUCAUUUAGUAGGCUUGUAACCUUAAGAACCAAUGUAAAAUGAACACAGUAAUGAAAGGUCUUUUACCUUUCAUGGUGCUUCCUCCCUAUCUUAUUUUAGAGCUAUGAAAUGUUUUUCUUUUUUGGAAAUUUAAGAGCUCUGUAAAGAGCUCGAGUUUUUAUGUGACAAUUACAAAUAGGAACUCGUAGUUAUUUAAUUUUUAGAUGACAGUAACUCAAGUACAGAAGCCUUUUUCUGCAAUUCCUGUUCCUUUUACAAAUCCAGGGCUGCUUUUUAACAUGAGUGACUUAUCUUAUCCCUUUAUAACUAAAACUUUUGAUGAGUUUUAGUCUUUGCAUUAUAUAUAUAAUCAUCAGUAUAAAUUGAGAAUGUGACUAUCCAGUACCCACUUUUAUAGCAAAGUAUAGGAAAAAUAAAUUGGACAUUUUAUUACCUAUCCAGUAAAAAUUCAGAGGAAUAUGAUACAUUUUAAAAAUAUUUUUAAAUCAGUGAUGUCAUAAGCAAUUUCUUUGUUUAUGUAUACUUUAUAAUAAAUUUACACUUGUUGACCUAUCUUUUAAGAAACCUAUGGAAACUGGUAUGACUCUUUUGAACUUUUUUGGUUUUUCACUGAAAUCCUUCGGGGCAACUAGAGAAUUGAAAUCCUCAACUGAAAUAGAAAUAGAAGACUGACAGAAAAGCCAUAGUAGAAGGGAGGAACUCAGAAGCUAGGAUAGCAGUUUAAGAGAUCAUGAUUCCAAAGGCACAGAGUUGGAAGUAUAUUUAUCUAUAGCUGGGGGAAUAAUCAAGCUACAAGUAUGAAAGAAUUUUCAGGGCAAGAUCUGGGGGAGUUAGGAAAAGCAAUUAUGUUGAAGACAAUCCUCCUAGGAAAAUCCCCAACAGUAUGUAGGAGAAAGGGGGUAAUUGUGGAACUUCUGGUGAGGGAAGAAGAAAACUCUGAUUCAUUCUCACUGAGAGAAGAGAUGUUAUGUUAGAGGACCUUUCCAAACCCGAAGUGGGGAAAUAACUGAAAAUGGGCAGAUGGAUACUUGGAAUUAUCCUUGAAAGUAACAUGAUAGAGAUGAAAGAUUCUCUCUGGUUUAAGUACUGCAUGUGUCUUUCACCCACUCUUCUUCCCUCUCCCUCUACAGCUUCUUCAGCCCCAGAGAUGUUGCACAGAGCGCUUCAUCUAAAUUCAUUUUCAUCACCUUACCUUUUCAACUUUGCCUUUCCGCCUCAAGAAUCUACUGAACUAAAAACGUGUCCUGCUCGCAGACUGCUGCUUGCCAGAGCCUUUGACUCCUCAGGGGGUGGAGCAAAUGAUUUCCUUCCUGGACAGGGG